rnacentral:rRNA from 1 species
GACGAACGCUGGCGGCGUGCUUAACACAUGCAAGUCGAACGGAGUGGCGAACGGGGGAGUAACACGUGGGUGACCUUCCCUGCACUUCGGGGUAAGCCUGGGGAACCGGGACUCAUACCGGCUAGUGUGGGAUGGGCGCGCGGCCUAUCAGCUGGUUGGUGGGGUAGUGGCCUACCAAGGCGGCGACGGGUAGCCGGCCGGGGAGGGGGGACGGCCACAUUGGGACUACGACACGGCCCAGACGGCUACAGGAGGCAGUAGUGGGGAAUAUUGUGCAAUGGGCGGAAGCCUGAUGAAGCGACGCGGCGUGGGUGAUGACGUCCUUCGGGUUGUAAACUCCUUUCUCCAUAGACGCGGUAGAUGGAGAAGAAGCACCGGCUAACUACGUGCCAGCAGCCGCGGUAAUUC